rnacentral:misc_RNA from 1 species
AUGCGAUAAGUAAUGUGAAUUGCAGAAUUCCGUGAAUCAUCGAAUCUUUGAACGCAUAUUGCGCCCUCUGGUAUUCCGGAGGGCAUGCCUGUCCGAGCGUCAUUUCAACCCCCCCUCAAGCCCGGCUUGUGUGUUGAGCGGCGGUCCCCCUUCGCGGGGGGGCCGGCUCCAAAUGCAGUGGCAGCGCCGCUAUUUAAAAGGGUGACUGAGCACAUGGGAAAAGGAUACCCUUCUGAUCUUCGUGCUUGUUAAAAAGUCCCCGGUGGCCGCUUGCCCCCCUUCGGUGGUGGUUAGGGAUCGGUACCGUUAAUCCGGGCCCGGGACCUUGCCCCUAUUGAAUCUCUCUAGGUUGACCUCGGAUCAGGUAGGGAUACCCGCUGAACUUAA